rnacentral:rRNA from 1 species
GGGGAAUAUUGCACAAUGGGGGAAACCCUGAUGCAGCGACGCCGCGUGAGCGAAGAAGGCCUUCGGGUCGUAAAGCUCUGUCCUAAGGGAAGAAGAGGACGGUACCUUAGGAGGAAGCCCCGGCUAACUACGUGCCAGCAGCCGCGGUAAUACGUAGGGGGCGAGCGUUAUCCGGAAUUACUGGGCGUAAAGGGUGCGUAGGCGGCCUUUUAAGUCAGAUGUGAAAGGCUACGGCUUAACCGUAGUUAGCAUUUGAAACUAAGAGGCUUGAGUGCAGGAGAGGAGAGUGGAGUUCCUAGUGUAGCGGUGAAAUGCGUAGAUACUAGGAGGAACACCAGUGGCGAAGGCGACUCUCUGGACUGCAACUGACGCUGAGGCACGAAAGCGUGGGUAGCGAAC